UACCCGCCCUACCUGAGACGAUCACCUGAUCUCGUCACCCACAUUUUGGCCACAAGAUGGCCUGCAUCAGCCCGUGACGUCUGUCAUGCGUCCUCUCCCCAUCAAUGGAUAUAUAGCCGGACAUUGUUUUCCUUCAAUAUGAUAUCAAUUCAGCUCUUUAUCAUGUCAUGCAAGCUUUUCUUUUCACUAGCCGAACAACAUCAAAAGAAGGACGUCACCGAAAGUUAUGUCCAAUUGUCGCUGGGAACAACGUUGGCGAACAAAUGUAUAUAUUUUAAUUUGAACGAUUGGCUCCCCACAUAUUCAUGCACGUAAUGCUCAUGGAACGGACUCACGUGAAUAUCGCCGCCCUUCCCGAUUUUGGCUGUCGGCGCCUCGCCCGCUGCAGCUCGCCUUUGGAGUCUCCUCUCUUCCUGCUCUUGGAUGGCUUGCGCGCUCCCUCGGCUCGGAAAAUGUAUCCACUGGCCAGCGCCGUCGAAGUGAGCUUGGACCUGGACUAUGUUGGCUUUGGUCCGAUAUUUAUUUAUUGGUAUGCGCGGCACUCGGUUUGUCGGGUCUAAUUUAAAGUAUUCUUUUUUAGUCACAGCCUAAGAUUUUGUGUGGCCCGACAAAGAAAAUUAAAUUUUUGCUCUGCUCGAUGUA